AAAGGAAAGGAAGAGAAAAGAAAGGAAAGAAAAUACUGAGUGGUGUAACAGACUUUCGUUAUGGUGCCAAAAAAUGUCACAGACCUGCUUGCUGCAAUGUCUGCAUGUGGGUAUUUUUUCUGCAAUUUAAAGGCUGAAAUACCGUGGCUUUAGCAGCAGAAUACUCAUGGGUGAUGAGCUCUCUGGCAUUUUUGAGAAGAAAACGAAGGAGAAUUAUGCCCCGCUGACAAAACAGGCGUUCCCCAUCUGACACUUCCAGGCUGAAAACUUGCGGUAGCAGCAGCUUACGGACCAGUACACUUCAUGAUGUUACGGUGUGUUACCCUCCCAUAAU